UACAGGGGGUGCAAACGUUGCUCGGAAUCAUUGGGCGUAAAGCGCACGUAGGCGGUUCGUUAUGUCGGAUGUGAAAGCCCUUGGCUUAACCGAGGAAGUGCAUCCGAAACUGGCGAGCUAGAGUACGGAAGAGGAUAGCGGAAUUCCCGGUGUAGAGGUGAAAUUCGUAGAUAUCGGGAGGAACACCAGUGGCGAAGGCGGCGAUCUGGGUCGAUACUGACGCUGAGGUGCGAAAGCGUGGGGAGCAAACAGG
rnacentral:rRNA from 1 species